rnacentral:rRNA from 1 species
AUUGAACGCUGGCGGCAGGCCUAACACAUGCAAGUCGAACGAGUGGCGGACGGGUGAGUAAUGUCUGGGAACCUGCCUGAUGGAGGGGGAUAACUACUGGAACCGGUAGCUAAUACCGCAUACCAUCGGAUGUGCCCUGAUGGGAUUAGCUAGUAGGUGGGGUAAAGGUUCACCUAGGCGACGAUCCCUAGCUGGUCUGAGAGGAUGACCAGCCACACUGGAACUGAGACACGGUCCAGACUCCUACGGGAGGCAGCAGUGGGGAAUAUUGGACAAUGGGCGAAAGCCUGAUCCAGCCAUGCCGCGUGUGUGAAGAAGGUCUUCGGAUUGUAAAGCACUUUAAGUUGGGAGGCGUUACCAACAGAAUAAGCACCGGCUAACUUCGUGCCAGCAGCCGCGGUAAUUC